GGUAAUGGCGGGCCGGCUGCGGGGGUAAUGGGAAGGGGGGAAGGGUGGCUUGGAAUGAGUGGGCGGAAAGGGGGCGUAGGCGGAGAGGUAAGUGAGAGUUGAAAGACCAGGUCUCAACCUGGGAAUUGCAUUGGAUACUGGCUAGCUGUAGUAUGGAAGAGGUAUGUGGAACUCCGAGUGUAGAGGUGAAAGUCGUAGAUAGUCGGAAGAACACCAGUGGCGAAGGCGACAUACUGGGCCAUUACUGACGCUGAGGCUCGAAAGCGUGGGGAGCAAACAGGAUUAGAUACCCUAGUAGUC
rnacentral:rRNA from 1 species